rnacentral:tRNA from 1 species
UGACAUAGCUCAGGGGUAGAGCACUUCAUUGGUAAUGAAGAGGUCGGGAGUUCAAAUCUCCUUGUCA